rnacentral:rRNA from 1 species
GACGAACGCUGGCGGCGUGCCUAAUACAUGCAAGUAGAACGCUGAAGGAGGAGCUUGCUCUUCUGGAUGAGUUGCGAACGGGUGAGUAACGCGUAGGUAACCUGCCUGGUAGCGGGGGAUAACUAUUGGAAACGAUAGCUAAUACCGCAUAAGAGUAGAUGUUGCAUGACAUUUGCUUAAAAGGUGCAAUUGCAUCACUACCAGAUGGACCUGCGUUGUAUUAGCUAGUUGGUGGGGUAACGGCUCACCAAGGCGACGAUACAAAGCCGACCUGAGAGGGUGAUCGGCCACACUGGGACUGAGACACGGCCCAGACUCCUACGGGAGGCAGCAGUAGGGAAUCUUCGGCAAUGGACGGAAGUCUGACCGAGCAACGCCGCGUGAGUGAAGAAGGUUUUCGGAUCGUAAAGCUCUGUUGUAAGAGAAGAACGAGUGUGAGAGUGGAAAGUUCACACUGUGACGGUAUCUUACCAGAAAGGGACGGCUAACUACGUG